rnacentral:rRNA from 1 species
AAACCUGAGAAACCCAAAAGAUCGAAUGGGGAGAUUCAUCGUCAGCGAUUUUGGUACGUGUGCGGUUCGCGAUGCCGGAGACUUCGGUCUUCGGGCACGCGUCCGCAUGUUUUUUAUUGCCUCGAUCGUCGGCGUGCACUUCUCCCCUAGUAGGACGUCGCGACCCGCUGGGUGUCGGUCUACGGCCCGGGUGGUAGCCUGUCUCGCGUACGCUUCACGGCGUCACGGCGGUUCAGACCCCCGGUUGCCCGACCGGCUGCCCGGCGGUACUCGCACGGUAUCUGGCCGCAAGUAUUCAAACUGCGUCCGGCCCGUCGCAAGCGAGGCAAGUGUUUCCCGGUUGUACGGAUCUAAUGCCGUCACCGGGCCUUGCCAGCUGUUGGCUGACGGUGUCCUAGGACUGGCUAAUAGAUACCGGUCGGCGACGCUACUGCUUUGGGUACUUUCAGGACCCGUCUUGAAACACGGACCAAGGAGUCUAACAUGUGCGCGAGUCAUUGGGAACUGUUAAGCCUAAAGGCGCAAUGAAAGUGAAGGUCGGCCUUGCGCCAACCGAGGGAGGAUGGGCCGCGUCACGAUGCGGUCCCGCACUCCCGGGGCGUCUCGUUCUCAU